rfam:Triticum aestivum genome assembly, contig: Triticum_aestivum_CS42_TGACv1_scaffold_471316_6AL
CUUGUACUCCCUCCGUUCCAAAUUACUCGUCGCAAAAAUGAAUGUAUCUAGAACUAAAAAACAUAUAGAUACAUCCAUUUCUACGACGAGUAAUUUGGAACGGAGGGAGUACUAC